AGAGUUUGAUCCUGGCUCAGAACGAACGUUGGCGGCGUGGAUUAGGCAUGCAAGUCGAACGAGUCCCAGGUAGCAAUAUCUGGGGGAAGUGGCGAAAGGGGCAGUAAGGCGUGGGUAACCUACCCCGGGGACGGGCAUAGCCGUCCUAACGGACGGGUAAUUCCUGGCGAUGUGGCUUGAGGGCAUCUUCGAGCCAUGAAAUGAAUCUCGCCUCGGGAGGGGCUCACGUGGUAUCAGCUUGUUGGCGGGGUAACGGCCCACCAAGGCAACGACGUCUAGCCGGUGUGAGAGCACGACCGGCGCCACUGGCACUGAGACACUGGCCAGACUCCUACGGGAGGCUGCAGUCGAGGAUCUUCGGCAAUGGGCGCAAGCCUGACCGAGCGACGCCGCGUGUGCGAUGAAGGCCUUCGGGUUGUAAAGCACUGUCGAGGGGGAGAAAAGCCCGCAAGGGUCUGAUCUAUCCCUGGAGGAAGCACGGUAAGUCGUGCAGCAGCCGCGGUAAGAC
rnacentral:rRNA from 1 species